rnacentral:snoRNA from 1 species
UUAUGAUGAAACUUGAACUAUACAGCUGGAAUUACCGGCAGAUUGUUCAGUGUUGAUCACUUAGUUUCUGAGC